rnacentral:rRNA from 1 species
ACGCUGGCGGCGCGCCUUACGCAUGCAAGUCGAACGCCCCGAUUUAUCGGGGAGUGGCGGACGGCUGAGUAACGCGUAGGCAACCUGUCCCACAGUGGGGGAUAACCCACCGAAAGGUGGACUAAUACCGCAUUCGCUCCCGCGGUGAGAACCCGCGGGAGGAAAGCCGCAAGGCGCUGAGGGAGGGGCCUGCGUCCUAUCAGGUAGUUGGUGAGGUAACGGCCCACCAAGCCUACGACGGGUAGCUGGUCUGAGAGGACGACCAGCCAGACGGGGACUGAGACACGGCCCCGACUCCUACGGGAGGCAGCAGCGAGGAAUCUUGGGCAAUGGGCGAAAGCCUGACCCAGCGACGUCGCGUGGGGGAAGAAGGCCUUCGGGUCGUAAACCCCUUUUGCCGGGGAAGAAGCUCUGACGGUACCCGGCGAAUAAGCCACGGCUAACUACGUGCCAGCAGCCGCGGUAAUACGUAGGUGGCAAGCGUUGUCCGGAUUUACUGGGCGUAAAGGGCGUGUAGGCGGUCCGCUAAGUCCGGUGUGAAAUCUCCCGGCCCAACCGGGAGGGGUCAUCGGAUACUGGCGGACUAGAGGGGGGCAGAGGAAGGCGGAAUUCCCGGUGUAGCGGUGAUAUGCGUAGAUAUCGGGAGGAACACCAGUGGCGAAGGCGGCCUUCUGGGCCCAUCCUGACGCUGAGGCGCGAAAGCGUGGGGAGCGAACCGGAUUAGAUACCCGGGUAGUCCACGCCCUAAACGUUGGACACCAGGUGUGGGGGGUAUCGACCCCCUCUGUGCCGUAGCUAACGCAUUAAGUGUCCCGCCUGGGGAGUACGGCCGCAAG